rnacentral:lncRNA from 1 species
AUGAGGGUGCGAGAUUGCUGAGUCCCCGUGGCUCACAGAUUACUUCAAAAACCAGUUUGCAGGUGCCGAUGAGUCCGUGCAGAUGACACAACCAAGCUCAAGGAGGAGCUCGAUGAAGAUCUUGUCCUUUGUGUUGUUUCGUUCUAGUUGAUCAGUAGUGGAGCCCAGUUGGGGUCGAUUGGGGACCUUGUCGCGUUUGGGGUUCUUCUUUUAUGUUGGUUCCGUUGUCGGACCUUGAUUGUAUUUGAUUGUUGUAAUGCUUUAUUCAUGAAAUUGUGUGAAGUGGCGAUUGUAAGCCAACUAUGUAUCUUUUCCCUUAUUGUAUUACAUGGGUUGUUUGCGAAGAUUACCUCACUUGCAGCAUUGCUUUCAAUGUGGUUAUGCCUCUAAGUCGUGCUUCAACACGUGGGAGAUAUAGCCGCAUCGAGGGUGUUACAAGUUGCUAUCAGAGCCUUCCCCGACCUUAGGAGCCCCAUUGCUUGAUCAUUAUUAGCAGCCGUUGUUGAGUCUAGAAAUUUUUUUUUGAGUCAUUUAGGAAUUAUAUAUCAGAGAGUUUAGGAAUUCUUUUUACUCCCCAGUCCCUUCAUCGCUCUGGUAAGGCAUCCCGACGUAGAGUUUUAUCUCUUCUCUUCUGAAAUUUCACUAUUUUUUUAGGAUCACGCGGGUAUCUUAGAAUCGUUCUGAUUGAUUUGUGGCGAGAACAUUGUUCUUGGUGCCUCCUAUCAUUUAGGGGUUGUGGCAGUGUCCCGGGGAGUUGAGCUCCGAGGUGUUGUCGUCACAAUUUUAUCGUUGCAGUUCUGGAAUACCUGAGUUUAGUUUCCGACAUUGAAAAUCUCUUUUAUGCAAUUGUUGGUGAGAAAACCUCGACGCCACCCAGUACUGGGGCGGGAGUUCGGGAGUAUUGCCAUAACUCGUAUAACGGAUGCUUUUCGAAGGUUGAGGUAGAUGAUUUCCGAAGGUUUUUUGGUUAUGUGUUGAAGGAUGGAUACAGCUGGAUGUAGGAAUUGCUAGUUUUGGGUGAGAUAUUAUGCUUCCCCUGUAUCCCCAACACCUGAUUGCAUAACUGGGAAAGUUUCGGGAGUUUAUAAGUGGGAAUUCAAGUAGCUCUUAGGAUAUCUUUCCGAUAGAUGUAUGAUAUGAAAUUGGGGUUCGAAGUCUAGUGGUCCGCCUAUUCACGGUCGGUUUUACAGUGGUCUCGUUGUGUCUUAAAGAGUCCUUGGCUAUGCCGACUCGGGGACGCUUCGUAUGUCAUGUGCACUGCCUUGUACAUGAUGGUGCUGUACAAUCGAGCCCGUGUAGGUCCCACCAUGAAAACUUCAGACGAAAUCUCUAUCAUAUGUUUGUUCCGGCUUAUUUUGCAAGCCAAUCCUUUGUUUUUGUUUUGAGUUGUGGUAUUCGAGUUGCUUCGAAGUCAAAUGUUGAUUCCAUACCUUCUCUAAACGGUGUGCUCAUAUUCCUAUGUGAAUACUAAUCAUUCUUGAUCAUCGAGAUUGUCUUGCCAAUCCUUUUCAACCGGUGUGUUUUUCUCUUCAAGCGGAUCCAUUCAUUUUCAACAUCCGCAAGAUUCAAUCUCAGCUUUCUCAACGUUGUUCAUUUCAUCCAUCCCAAGUCGUCUUUGUUUUCCCACCCACCCACCCUUUUUCUUCAAGGACUUAGAUUUCUUAAUCGAGUAUCCAUCUUAUGGAUGUGAAGCCUCUCCAUUCUUUUCCGUCAAUAUUCUUAUCCGGUGAUUCUCAUGAAGAUUCUAACGGAGCUUCUAGUUCGUCAUUCCUCUUUUUUUCUCCGGUGGAACCAAUUCAAGCUUUGUUGAUCAUAUUCUUUCCUCGUUUCAAAUACCACCUCAUGCCAGUGCAGCUCAUUAUCAUCCACUUCUCGCUAUUCAAUUGUUCAAGAGUGCCCAAGAUAUCUUGGAGAUUCGUGUUUCCACUCUCCUUUCAUUCCAGCUUUUGCGAGGAUGUUACCUCAUUCAAGUCAUUUAUUUCAACCGGCGCAAUCUCUCACUUUAAAUCUUUUUAACGGUGUUCUUUUGAGUGGGCCCUAACCCACAGGUCUUUUCCCAGGAUCUUACCUGACUCUUCUUAUUUUCCCGGAGCUAUCCUCAAAUUCUUUUAAAGUUUGACGUAAGAAUGAUUCAUCAUCUGUCAUAUGUUUUUCUCCAAGAUCUUUCAAAUUCUUUUCAUCGUUGGCUCAAUCUCUUCGCUUUUGAUUCUUCCGGAGCGUCUAAAUAAUUCAUGAUGGUGUUUCUCGUCGUCUUUCUCAACAUUUGAAGACCAAAGAAGAGUUUCCCUCCAUAUCUUGCUUCAUUCUCUUCAAGAUUGGUGAUUCUAGCUUGUUGCCUUCCUCUCAUAAUUGUUUUGAUUGUGAGAAUCCUUUUCACCCAUCCGGAGCAAUUCAGGAGUCUUUUCAAUUGGAUUUCAUGGAGCCCAUCAUCAAAGAAGAUUUAUUCAUUCUUAGUUCUUGCUCUCCAAAUCUUACCGGUGCAUCAUUCAAGUGAUCUCUAAUCAGUUUGUGAUCCCUUCAUUCCCAUGGAUCUAAACCCUCUCAAGCAUCUUCAUUCAUUUGCUAAUUCUUCCCGGUGUUCCUUUAUCUUUCCUUCGGUCAUUGUAAUUCUUACGGUGGUUCGUGCAAGAGUUCUCGUCAUUCGUUAUCGUAUAUAUUCAUUCAUUCUUCUCAAUCCUACCAGUGACUUGUUGAAGACUUUCUCAAGUUAUGCUAUAUCUAUCUUAAUCCUUUCUACGAGAAUAAGUAGUGUGCCAAAUCCGUUGCUUGUCAUCAAUCUAAAUUGGUGAAGGAUAAGCAUAAUGUAAUUCUUAUUCUUGUUUCAUCCAAGUGAUUAAAUCCUUAUUUCGGAGGCUCAUCAAAUUCCUGAUUUCAAUUGUUUCAUCUUCUCUUUUUCCUGGAGUUCCAACCUUUUUCAAUUAUGUCACCACGGAGAUUCAUCUAAAUUGGUACAAGGAUUCACCUUGUGUUUUCAACUUCUCUUUCUUUUCAUUCCUUUGUUUACCGGAGUUCUUCAUGGAGGUUCUACAUGAUGGUUCAUCAAGGAUUUAUUUCCUUCUCGAAGUGUUCAUUGAGAUUCUUUUCAAAGGAGUUCAAGCUUUCUUCAUCUUGCUAUCCGGAGUGCAAUUCCUUCUACCGUAUCAUUUGAGGUGGUGUUGUGUCAUUCUUGAUAAUUUGAGUUCAUGUCUCAUGAUUCACAUGCUGUUAAGAAUGAGUUAUUUAAAAUCCAUCAAUCUCUUCAUUGGAGUUAUCUUGGGUUAUAUUUCACCUAAAACUUUCCCUAAGGAAUGUUGCUAAUUAUGGUGCUUAUAAAGGACCCAAGUUCUUCUUUAUCCUCCUGGUGAAAUACUUUCUCAUCUCCUUGUUCAUAUCAAUCCAAUUUAUCGUUUCCGUCAGUGGCUGGUUGUCACCUCAUAAUCUUGAGAUGUUUUGCCCAUAAGCCCAAAACUACCUUACUCUUUGCGUGGUUGGAUUUCCGACAACUCCGUUCGACCCUUCUCCUAAGGAUGCAUCUUCAAGAUCUUUUGUGGCAGAAGUUGGCAUUUUCUUCUCAAUUCUCCUAUGGCAAUUAUCUAUCUUCUAUUCUUUUGUUCCGGAGGCAUUGCGAUGUUGCUUUCUUCAACCAUCAUCUCGUUUCAUCAAAGAUCAUGUUCUUUUCAUGCCUAUUCCAUUUAACCAGGGUGUUGUGCCCCUUUGCUCAAAUCCUUUUUCAUCCUAUCAAGCCUUGUAUCUCUUUUCAACCGGAGUGCUAUAAGAAAUUGUUCUUCCUUGUUCCUCUUUCCUAACGGAGGUUUUUUUCAACUUUGUUCAUUCUCCGUUGCUUUCUUUAUUUCAUUUUGCUCAACCUUGCAAGGUUCUUUGGUCUCACUUGUUUUUCAAAGAAGCAACUUAGCCUUACCUCUUCUCUUUCUCUUCCGUUGUCCCUCCGAUGCCGUUCUAGAUCUCGAGACGAGAUCCUCUCAUAGUGGUGGAGUGUUGUAACUCCCCGAGACCGAUGUGCCAGGUGUCCUUCGUUUAUUUGCUGUUGUUGUGUUGUCAUUGCUUGCGUGUCAUGCAUUGCAUAUCAUGUCAUCAUGUGCAUUGCAUCAUCAUGUUUUCAAAACUUGCAUCCGUCCCGGUCUCCUCAUUCCUUCCGUUGUCUGUUCUGAGCCCAGACACACUUGCACGCGCCCGUGGCAUGUCUGAAAUAUUAUUUUAUAAGUGGCCAGAAAAUGUUCUCGGAAUGGGUUGAAAGUUGGUAUGCAGUGUUGUUUUGUUGUAGGUAGGCUGCCUGCCAAGCUUCAUCGCAUUCGGAGUUCGUUUGAUGCCCCAACUAUUAACUAUAGCGACAAUAUAGUCGGUCAAACGUCGGACGUUUUCGGUCUACAAAAACAGUCGCCGGGCCUCUCUUUUCUCUUCUCUCAGCUCGAGACCGUCUACACAAUCCACUACCUACCGUCAGGUCCAACCUAACCUCUCUCGUCAGCCCGCAGCCCCCCUCGCGCGUGUCCGAAAAUUGUCCCGAACCCGACCCGGACUAUCGCCACCGUUGUGUCCGGAUCAUCCCCAAACAUCUACAAAACAUCUCCUUUUUCCUAUAUGGUCUUCCUAUCUUUUAUUUCUCGACCGUCCGAUAAAAAUCCGAGGGACCAAAUACCCCUAACCAAAAUCCUCGUUGCUAUAUAAAUAGAUGGAACCCUAGCCUUGUCCCAUCCAUCCACCGAAUCCCUCAGCCGUCGCCGCCGGACAACCUCCCUCUUUUUCCUCGCGUAGCCAGUCAACUCCCUGCUUUCUUCCUUGGGAUCAUCCCCGAUCAUAAAAUCCCUUCCUCGUUUUCAGAUCCACCCAAUCCCUCCAUCGAUCCAACCAUAGCCCUCCGCUGCUCUGCUUCCCCUCGAUCCACCUGAGCUCCUCCUCUUGUGCCUCUGUGCUCGAUCCCCCUCGUCCUCGCCACUCCUUCGCGUGCGGCAAGCCGCCGUAGCACCGGAGCUCCCUCCGCCGUCGAGCACCACCAGCAGAUGAGCCUCACGCCGCCCUUCCUCCCUUUCCCUCGCUCUUAUCUCUCCCUCACAUCUGGCUCCCUCUCUUUUUCCCUCGCAGAAGACCGCCAUGGCAUCCAGGAGGCUUCAGGCACCAGCAGCUCCGGUUCCGCGUCGGCUCCACCAUGGGAAUGGACGGAUACGUCAUCCUUGACCCCAGGACCUCCUCCUACGUGGCUCUCCAUCAUCAUCUCCGCCGCCAGAACGCACGAUAGCAACCUCCUGCCAUGGAUCCGAUGCCCCUUCGCCCGUCCUCGCCGGUUUGAGCAGCCGACGAAUCCGCCAUCGCCCGCUCGCUCUGCCGCCUACCGGAGCUCGCCUCCACCGACAGCAGCACCUCCCUUCGCCAAGCGCCGCCGUGACCCCGUCGUUUUCCAUCCCUGUCGAACCUGCUGUCGUCCCUGCCGACAAGCUCUUCGCCUGCAGGGACGCACAGCGCGCCCGUUGACUGCUCGCUGGUCGGCACCCUCCUUCGCAAGUAGCACCGCGCCAGACGCCGAUCGCCUCUGCCCGGUUCCCCGCCACCAAGUCCAGCUCAGCACCGCCGCGAGCCGCCUCCUUCCUUGGAUCCUCGCCGCCCCGUCGCCCUGUUCGCCUCCUCUGCUUUGUUCGAUCAGGCAGGACGACGCAUGCUCCCUUCGUUGACCACUUCCACUCCAGGAGCUGGGCCACCUCCCCUCGGCUCGUUGACCGACUGCCCAGAUCCACGCCUGGGCCACUUCUUGCAGCGAGGCCAAGAUCGACCGCGGCCCAGCCAGCGCCCUGCCGGCCCAGCCUCCCCUCCAGCUGCGGUGCUUCUGGCCUGUUGGGCCCAAUGUGAGCAGCGCAACAGUUUCAGCUCACUCUUGUUUUUUUUCCUCCAGCAUUUUUGCUAAUAACCAGUGUAUUACCGGUUUUACAGAAAAACCCCUAGUCUUUAUGCAUAUAAUAACUUAUGAAUAAUGCUUCAUACGUAAUAACCUUAUAUUUGAAACUUGACUAGAAUUUCAUCUAGUUUCAUAAUAUGUCAUUUCCAUCCAUGUUUAAAAUGCUUAAAAUGUUGUUUGUUUAAAUUUGCUCAAAUAACUUGUUAAAAUGUUUUAAUUCAUAACUAAAUAACCGUAGCUUGGUUUCUAAUAAAUUUUAUAUGUAAAUGGGGUGGGAAAAUGCCUAGUUUAUCAUGGUGUACUUGUUUCGCAUGUUUAACAAUCCUAAAAUUGUGUUUAGAACAGAUCAGUACCAAAAUCUAUAAUAUGCUCAUGAGGAGUUUCCGGACUUGUUGUUCAUUGUUUCCGGCCUCACUUAAACUUGCCUAGAUAGGUAGUUUUGUUGUGCUUCACCUCUUGCCAUGCUAAAUAAAUUUAAUCUUGUUGGGUACCUAAACGAGAGAGAACUAAAUAAGUCAUGUGGUGUUUUCUUCAAUAUGCAACUCCGUUGCAUAUUGAGCUCCACUUAAUUUGUAGGGUUGCUUGUGCACCUUACCAUGCCAUGCUUCAUUAAACCGGACAUGCAUCAUACUUGAUUGUGCAUCAUGCCAUGUUUAUGUGGUGGUUGUUUACCAUGAUUGUUUGCUUCUUUCCGGUGUCGCUUCUUCGGGUUGGUUCCGAUAACGUCGCGUUUGUGAGGACCCAUUCGACUACGCCUGUUUGUCUUCUUCAUGGACUCGUUCUUCUUCCUAUCGGGAUUUCAGGCAAGAUGAUCAUACCCUCGAAAUCACUUCUAUCUUUGCUUGCUAGAUGCUCGCUCUUUUGCUAUGCCUAUGCUGCGAUACCUAUCACUUGCUUAUCAUGCCUCCUAUAUUGUUGAACCAAGCCCCUAACCCACCUUAUCCUAGCAAACCGUUGAUUGGCUAUGUUACCGCUUUGCUCAGCCCCUCUUAUAGCGUUGUUAGUUGCAGGUGAAGAUUGAAGUUUUGUUCCUUGUUGGAACAUGGAGAUGUUGUUCCUUGUUGGAACAUGUUUUACUUGUUGGGAUAUCACAAUAUAUCUUAUUUAAUUAAUGCAUCUAUAUACUUGGUAAAGGGUGGAAGGCUCGGCCUUAUGCCUGGUGUUUUGUUCCACUAUUGCCGCCCUAGUUUCCAUCAUAUCGCUGUUAUGUUCCCGGAUUUUGCGUUCCUUACGCGGUUGGGUAAUAAUGGGAACCCCUUGACAGUUCGCCCUGAAUAAAACUCUUCCAACAAUGCCCAACAUUGGUUUUACCAUUCGCCACCUAGCCUUUUCUUUUCCCUUGGGGGUCGCGCGCCCAAGGGUCAUCAUUAUUUUAACCCCCCGGGCCAGUGCUCCUCUGAGUGUUGGUCCAAAACAGAGCCACUUGCAGCACCACCUCGGGGUAACUCGAGGUUUGGUUUUAGUUGUACGUAUUGUUCAUCCGGUGUGCCCUGAGAACGAGAUAUGUGUAGCUCCUAUCAUGGGUGUUGCUGGACUUGUUUUACCAUUGUCGAAAUGUCUUGUAACCGGGAUUCCGAGUCUGAUCGGGUCUUCCUGCUAGGAGGAAUAUCCUUCAUUGACCGUGAGAGCUUGUGAUAGGCUAAGUUGGGACACCCCUGUAGGGUUUUGAACUUUCAAAAGCCGUGCCCGCGGUUAUGGGCAGAUGGGAAUUUGUUAACGUCCGGUUGUAGAAAACCUGAAGUUGACCUUAAUUAAAAAAUGCAUCAACCACGUGUGUAACCGUGAUGGUCUCUUUCCGGUGGAGUCCGGGAAGUGAACACGGUGUUGGAGUAAUGCUUGACGUAGGUUGUUCUAGGAUCACUUCUUGAUCGUAGUUUCUUGAUCGUGCUUUUCCUUCUCUUCUCGCUCUCUUUUGCGAAUAGGUUAGCCACCAUAUAUGCUAGUCGCUUGCUGCAGCUCUACCUCAUACCUUUACCUUACCUAUAAGCUUAAAUAGUCUUGAUCGUGAGGGUGCGAGAUUGCUGAGUCCCUGUGGCUCACAGAUUACUUCAAAAACCAGUUUGCAGGUGCCGAUGAGUCCGUGAAGAUGACACAACCAAGCUCAAGGAGGAGCUCGAUGAAGAUCUUGUCCUUUGUGUUGUUUCGUUCUAGUUGAUAAGUAGUGGAGCCCAGUUGGAGUCGAUCGGGGACCUUGUCGCAUUUGGGGUUCUUCUUUUAUUUUGGUUCCGUAGUCGGACCUUGAUUGUAUUUGAUUGUUGUAAUGCUUUAUUCAUGAAAUUGUGUGAAGUGGCGAUUGUAAG